GACGAACCGUGCGAACGUUGUUCGGAAUCACUGGGCUUAAAGGGCGCGUAGGCGGGUCCACAAGUCAGGGGUGAAAUCCUCCGGCCCAACCGGAGAAGUGCUUUUGACACUGGGGACCUCGAGGGGUGUAGGGGCAUGUGGAACUUCCGGUGGAGCGGUGAAAUGCGUAGAUAUCGGAAGGAACGCCGGUGGCGAAAGCGACGUGCUGGACACCUUCUGACGCUGAGGCGCGAAAGCCAGGGGAGCAAACGGG
rnacentral:rRNA from 1 species